rnacentral:rRNA from 1 species
GACGAACGCUGGCGGCGUGCUUAACACAUGCAAGUCGAACGGAAAGGCCCUGCUUUUGUGGGGUGCUCGAGUGGCGAACGGGUGAGUAACACGUGAGUAACCUGCCCUUGACUUUGGGAUAACUUCAGGAAACUGGGGCUAAUACCGGAUAGGAUCUCCUGCUGCAUGGUGGGGGUUGGAAAGUUUCGGCGGUUGUGGAUGGACUCGCGGCUUAUCAGCUUGUUGGUGGGGUAGGGGCUUACCAAGGCUUUGACGGGUAGCCGGCCUGAGAGGGUGACCGGCCACAUUGGGACUGAGAUACGGCCCAGACUGCUACGGGAGGCAGCAGUGGGGAAUAUUGCACAAUGGGCGGAAGCCUGAUGCAGCAACGCCGGGUGUGGGAUGACGGCCUUCGGGUUGUAAACCGCUUUCGCCUGUGACGAAGAGUGAGUGACGGUAAUGAGUAAAAAAGCACCGGCUAACUACGUG